GUCUACGGCCAUGGUAUCUUGAACGCACCCAAUCCCAUCUGAUCUUGGAAGCUAAGCAGAGUUGGACCUGCUUGGUACUUGGAAGGGAGAAAUCACAAGGUGAAAUGGUGUCCUCCCCA
rnacentral:rRNA from 1 species